rnacentral:lncRNA from 1 species
GUUAGUUUGCGUCCCGCUUUCCAGGCAGUUGCUUGUUUCAUUCUCCAUCUUUGAAAGUCUCUCUUUGUGAUCCUGCAGCUCCUUCUCAAGUUUUUCCCUCCUCUGAGUUUCAUUUCUAAGGCAGCAGAGCAACUGGCUCACAGUCAGCUCCUCAGAUUCCAAAUUCUUGGACUCAUCUGCAGAUUUGCUCAUGUAGACAGCGAUGUUACUGGCCAUUUCACUGCUAUUAUCUUGAUUUUCUCUUGCAGUUCGAUUUACU